GCACUGGCAAAAUCCAGUGUCGGGAUUGGAACCCCGCCUUAUUGCACUCGACACAUAGUCGUUAACCAAAGCUUUGGUUUUCCC
rnacentral:sRNA from 1 species